UUUAAAUCAAAUCAAUAUAUAUAAAUUCAAGAAUUCUUGAAAAAGUUUCUAUUUAACAUAAUUUAUUAGCUUAAAAGUACAAAAUUAAGUAUCUUAUGAAACCCAAUUAAAAUUUUGAAGCAUUUCCAACAUUUGUAUCUUUAUAUUAUUAACUAUUAAUAAGGACAUAUUUUGAAAUGAUAGCAGUAUGAUUAAUUUAAAUAAUGUCAUGAGUUUACAUAAAGGGUACAUUAAGAGUCCAAAUCUGAUUUUGAAAGCUUCAAAUGAUAGUAUUAUCUCAUGAUGUGCUGUAAUCACUUGCAUUUCACAUAGCUAAACAAAAAUGUUUCAUAUUUUCUUUCAGUGUUCUGAACACACAUUAUUAUAUUGAAAUUUCAUCAAUUUCUUUUAUUUAAAAUCAAGUUGUUUUUGAAAUUUUUAAGGAGUAGAAUUUUUGUUAUGCCUUUAGAUGGAUAUUAAUGUUUUUAUACAGAUUUUUGUAAUGUAAAAGUAGGUAUCUAUUUUCACAGAAUUUGUUGGCUAAUAUGUUUCCUAAUACAUUGCAAAUUUUCAUAUUAUUAAAUUAAUUUGUACACAUAUUUAAGGUGGUACAAAACAACUUGACUUAAAUUAAUUUGACUUGUAUAAUUUUCAUAAAAAAAUUUGACAAAAUAUUUACACUUUAGCAAAAGUAUAAAAAAAAUAUCCAAACACUUUAACACACAUUAUCGUAAAAAAAGGUUAUAUAGCAUUUUGACUCUUUAGAAGCAAAAUAUUUCCUUAACAAUAUAAGAUGAUGAUUAAAAUGUUUAGCUGUAUUUAAGUGUUAUCUCCCUGUAGUGUUUUGUACCACCUUAAAAUUUGCAAGGGGUACAACCUCAAAUACUUUUGAUGCUUCAGGAUACUACAACAAAAAGAAAAUACAAUUGAAGUCAAAAUGUCAUGCGGCGUAAAGCAACCAACAAUCAAUGAAGUCAAAAUGACCCUGCACAAAUAUAGACAAUAUAUCCAAAUGGAAUGUACACUUAUAUUUCAUUAUCAAACCGCAGGUAAAUUAUUAAGUUGUGAUUGGUUAAACGCUGUCACAUGGUGACCCCCUAUGGAUUUGUAGGGGGUUAGUAAAUUCAUAGGGGUUUCAGGAAGUCACGUCUACUGUUAAUGGUGACGUCAUCUAUUGAUUUGCUGUAGUUCAUUAAUUAUUUUUCUACAAAAUGCAGCAGGAAAGGUCCUGCAUGUGAUAAAUAAGUUAUAGUUCACUACUGACCCCCUACAAAUCCCCUAUGGAUUUUACUAAUCCUCUUUAGAUCCGUAGGGGAUCAAUAACCAACCAAAAAACUUAAAUUAUCACUUUUUAUUUUGUUUUUUUUAACUAAGUACACCUUCUUUAAAAUGAACAUGAUUAAAACUGAUUCACUAUUUAAUGAAAGAUGACAGUACUAUUCAAUAGGGUUGCUGCAGAACCCUAGGUCUUAUGGUCCUUGCAUUCUUUUUAAAUUCUAUGGUCCUUAUAUUAUCCAAAAAAUAUCUUGAGGCUCAUAUCAAAGAGCCAUGGUUCCAUAGCUACCAAUAUUGGUAAAAUAGCAACAUAAUAAGGCAGCUGUACAAUAAUAGCAACAUCAAAAAUUACAAACUUAAAAGAAAGAGAUACUAACAAAUAUAUACAAGUACAAGUACAAGUAAACAAGUGCAUACAGAUAAUAGUAUAUACAAUGGUCAAGUGCUAAGUAAGCAUUCAAAAGCACUGAAUUGGUAAUAACAAAGAUUAAGAUUAAAAUUACCAAGCAGGUUAGCAAUUUUAUUUGCCAAUUAUUUUCUUUUUUUUUCAAAUUUAUUAUGUUAAUGAAAUGUAGGAACUGAUGAAGGAAAUUACAUUAUGUAAAUGUACAGCAAAACCUGUCUUAUAUAAACUAUGGAUAACCUGUAAACUCAGGACUUAUAUCAUAAAACAAUGUUAGUAACAUCUGCAUAUCAGUCUUCCAACUUUGCCCUGUUUUUUAAAAUUUCUAACAGAAACCUAACAAGACACAAUUUGUUCUAUUCAAAUGAGAUUUAACGGUUAAUUUGAUUAUUAAAACAGGUUUAACAAAAUUCGACUUUGAAUUAUUAUAUACAUAUAGAAGGUAAAAAGCCCUAUAUACAGUUAUAUCACAUAAAUACACAACCAUAGUGACCAUCUACAGUAAAACAUGUCAUAACCUUAGUGAUUAUCUACAGUAAAACAUGUCGUAACCUUAGUUACUAUCUACAGUAAAACAUGUCAUAACCUUAGUUACUAUCUACAGUAAAACAUGUCAUAACAUUGUUUUCUGGGAAAAUAUGAUUGGAAUAAAGAAUUGUGAUUAAUCAAGUCUCAAUAUUCAAGAACCCGUCCUUUCGUGGAAACAUGCCAGUGUAUACAGAACCUAAACUACACAAAAUUCUUUUCCUUGUAUUCCUUUUUUUUUUUUUUUAAAUCAACCACAAAUUACAUCUUUUAAUCUGAGGUAUUCAUCCAUCCAAGUGAAAUUCAUUUAAUUGAAAUACAAUCCAAUCCCAUUACUUUGUUACAUUCUCUUUUUUUCUUUCUUUAUCUUGCGACAAACCUAGUUUGUAUAACAUUUUAUUUUCAAAUUGUGAAUAGCUUGUUAUUUUCAAAAGAAAAAAUCAUUGUUAUUCAAUUGAUAUCACAAUUUUCCAAUGUUCACCAUGUUUGCAGAAGAUUUUUAUAAAGCAAAGUCAUUU
rnacentral:lncRNA from 1 species